rnacentral:tRNA from 3 species
GCCGAUGUAGCUCAACGGUAGAGCACGGCUUUCGUAAAGCCGGGGUUUUGGGUUCGAAUCCCAUCAUCGGCU